rnacentral:rRNA from 1 species
UACGUAGGGUGCAAGCGUUAAUCGGAAUUACUGGGCGUAAAGCGUGCGCAGGCGGUGAUGUAAGACAGAUGUGAAAUCCCCGAGCUCAACUUGGGAACUGCAUUUGUGACUGCAUCGCUGGAGUGCGGCAGAGGGGGGAUGGAAUUCCGCGUGUAGCAGUGAAAUGCGUAGAUAUGCGGAGGAACACCGAUGGCGAAGGCAAUCCCCUGGGCCUGCACUGACGCUCAUGCACGAAAGCGUGGGGAGCAAACAGG